rnacentral:rRNA from 1 species
CCUGACGCAGCAACGCCGCGUGAGUGAUGAAGGCUUUCGGCUCGUAAAGCUCUGUCAAGUGGAAAGAAACUGCUUUGUGCGAAUACCAUAAAGCAUUGACGGUUCCACUGAAGGAAGCACCGGCUAACUCCGUGCCAGCAGCCGCGGUAAUACGGGGGGUGCUAGCGUUAUUCGGAAUCAUUGGGCGUAAAGGGCGCGUAGGCGGUUGUUUAAGUCAGGUGUGAAAGCCCUCGGCUUAACCGAGGAAGUGCAUCUGAUACUAAGCAACUUGAGUAUGGGAGAGGGAAGCGGAAUUCCUGGUGUAGCGGUGAAAUGCGUAGAUAUCAGGAGGAACACCGGUGGCGAAGGCGGCUUCCUGGACCAAUACUGACGCUGAGGCGCGAAGGCGUGGGGAGCAAACAGGAUUAGAUACCCUGGUAG